GCUGAGCUGAAGUAGGUCCCAAGGGUAUGGCUGUUCGCCAUUUAAAGUGGUACGCGAGCUGGGUUUAGAACGUCGUGAGACAGUUCGGUCCCUAUCUGCCGUGGGCGCUGGAGAAUUGAGGGGGGCUGCUCCUAGUACGAGAGGACCGGAGUGGACGCAUCACUGGUGUUCGGGUUGUCAUGCCAAUGGCACUGCCCGGUAGCUAAAUGCGGAAGAGAUAAGUGCUGAAAGCAUCUAAGCACGAAACUUGCCCCGAGAUGAGUUCUCCCUGAGACUUUAAGUCUCCUGAAGGAACGUUAAAGACUAUGACGUUGAUAGGUCGGGUGUGUAAGCGCAGCGAUGCGUUGAGCUAACCGAUACUAAUGAACCGUGAGGCUUAACCUU
rnacentral:rRNA from 1 species